CUGCGAGUGAGCGGGAAAGCUCAUUUUAAAAUCUGGCGGUCUCCGGCCGUCCGAGUUGUAAUUUAGAGAAGCGUUAUCCGUGCUGGACCGUGUAUAAGUCUCCUGGAAUGGAGCGUCAUAGAGGGUGAGAAUCCCGUCUUUGACACGGACUACCAGUGCAUUGUGAUGCGCUCUCGACGAGUCGAGUUGUUUGGGAAUGCAGCUCAAAAUGGGUGGUAAAUGCCAUCUAAAGCUAAAUAUUGGCGAGAGACCGAUAGCGAACAAGUACCGUGAGGGAAAGAUGAAAAGAACUUUGGAAAGAGAGUUAAACAGUACGUGAAAUUGUCGAAAGGGAAACGGUUGCAGUCAGUCGCGUCCGCCGGGGAUCAACCUUGCUUUUGCUUGGCGUAUUUCCCGGUGGAUGGGUCAGCAUCAGUUUUGACCGCAGUUGAAAGGCUGGAGGAAUGUGGCACCUUCGGGUGUGUUAUAGCCUCCUGUCAUAUGCUGCGGUUGGGACUGAGGAACUCAGCACGCCGCAAGGCCGGGAUUCGUCCACGUUCGUGCUUAGGAUACAAGGCAUAAUGUCUGUAACCGACCCGUCU
rnacentral:rRNA from 1 species